CUGCUUACGUUGUGGCUCGUCGCUGGAAUACUCACAUUUUAAAGGAGAAGCAAAAUGUUGAACCACGAUGAGCAGUGGGUGGGGCGAUAACUCUCAGUGUCCCGACCUGUAAACAGCACUCGGAGAAUGGAAUGCCAGUGCGUCCUCUCAGGCCCCUGGAAGUAUGAAGAUAGAGCCCCACCAGCCCCCAGGGAAAGAAAAACCAGGUGUUUUCCAGAUGCUAAUCAUUCUGGCUGGGGUUUGAGAGCUCUGGGAACUCUUGUGAAAGAGGAAAGAAUUUGGAGAAGAAAGAGGCCUCCUGCCCGACUAAGUGGAGGAGCCACUCAGGAGCCAAAGCACUGAGGGGGCAUCUCCCUCCACCUGCCCCCGGGGCCGCACAUGGUUCCUCCUGGGAACCUGAAGAGGACUUGCUCUCACGGGCCCUCACAGCACAGCCAAAUAAAUAAACAAAUGGUCUGCGGAGAAGCUUUUUCUCCAAGCUGAGUGAUCUUUGUUCUCUCUGAGCUGAGUUCACACAGAAGGAGAAGG